ensembl:lincRNA
UUAAAUGAUUGUUUUUAUACUUUCUCUAGGUGAAUGGUUGUUUGCUAGGGAGAACAUCUGCUCCAGUCCUCACUGCUCCAUCCCAGAGGUCAGUCUCCUGCAGUUAAUCCUAAUACAAGGUAAUUUAUUUUCACAGGAAGAAAAAAAGAACUAAAUUAUAGGAACAAACAGUCCCUGUUGCCUGGAAAGUGCUGGGGCUCUGGAGUGAAUAAAUACUCCUGAA